rnacentral:rRNA from 1 species
CAGUAGCCGCGGUAAUACAGAGGGUGCGAGCGUUGAUCGGAUUUACUGGGCGUAAAGCGUGCGUAGGCGGCUUUUUAAGUCGGAUGUGAAAUCCCUGAGCUUAACUUAGGAAUUGCAUUCGAUACUGGGAAGCUAGAGUAUGGGAGAGGAUGGUAGAAUUCCAGGUGUAGCGGUGAAAUGCGUAGAGAUCUGGAGGAAUACCGAUGGCGAAGGCAGCCAUCUGGCCUAAUACUGACGCUGAGGUACGAAAGCAUGGGGAGCAAACAGGAUUAGAUACCCCAGUAGUCCCUGUCUCUUAUAC